GGAAGGUGGGGAUGACGUCAAGUCAUCAUGGCCCUUACGACCAGGGCUACACACGUGCUACAAUGGCGCAUACAAAGAGAAGCGACCUCGCGAGAGCAAGCGGACCUCAUAAAGUGCGUCGUAGUCCGGAUUGGAGUCUGCAACUCGACUCCAUGAAGUCGGAAUCGCUAGUAAUCGUGGAUCAGAAUGCCACGGUCGAAUACGUUCCCGGGCCUU
rnacentral:rRNA from 1 species